UUCUUAUUGGAUGAUGAUUGUCAAGUGUCAUGUUCUGAUUGGAUGUCAACUCCAUGAAAAAUGAAAUGCAUUGUUGUUCUCAUUGACCAAUCAGAACAUGACACGUGACAGUCAUCAUCC
rfam:Glycine soja cultivar W05 scaffold4351_30, whole genome shotgun sequence.